rnacentral:rRNA from 1 species
UACGGGGGGGGCAAGCGUUGUUCGGAAUUACUGGGCGUAAAGGGUUCGUAGGUGGCUUGCUAAGUCAGACGUGAAAUCCCUGAGCUCAACUCAAGAAAUGCACUUGAUACUGGGCGACUAGAGGACCGGAGAGGAUAGUGGAAUUCCCAGUGUAGUGGUGAAAUACGUAGAGAUUGGGAAGAACACCAGUGGCGAAGGCGGCUAUCUGGACGGUUUCUGACGCUAAGACGCGAAAGCGUGGGGAGCAAACAGG